rnacentral:lncRNA from 1 species
AUGUUCAGCCAACUUGGAGGCAUCUCUGUAGGGGAAAAAGUUGGCCUAGAAAUUGAAAUUGUCCACAGUCAGGUGGCCAGUGGGACAGUCAUUGAGGAAGCCCUUGUACCACUCCUGAAGCUCAUGGUUGGUGAACUCCCUGUGUUUCCGCAGGUCCUGCAGCACCUCAGGACCCGGCUUGCUGUUCUGCUUGCCCAUGGCAGCUGGCAGUGGAGACUAAACCUGCAAGGCCAAGAUACAAGGGAAACUUACAACGUAUCUCUGGCCUGGAGUUCACUUAGAAAUGUCACCCAUCAGAUACAUCUUGCUAACCAGAGAACUGACCAUCAGAGAGCUGCAGAACCUCUCCUAAGUCAGCCAGGACCUGACUCCAGUAUACCCGGGAAUGGGAUUGUGCUGGUAUGACAGUCCCAGAGAGGGCAAUGUGGAAACAGCUGCAUUGACACCAUAGCUAGCCCUGUGCUUAUGGCUCCUCUUCAUGAUCAACAGCCCUGCACCCCACAGCCUUGCCACAGACCCUUGGUUUCCAGCUCACGCACGCACGCAGCAUCCACUCACCUCAUUGAACACACAUCACUGCUGUGUCUGUGAUUUAUCAUCUAACAGAUGCUACUGAAAUGCCAAACUCCUUGUACCUGCUCUGCAGAUAUCUGCUGGGAGGAGGCUGCAGUGCAAACAGCCUUGGAGUUGUUGGAGGAGAGGCUUCGUUUCCCUUAUUUCUCAUUCCCUUCCCAAUGGCUUGAAGAUCUGCUCCUUACCAAAUAUUUCAGAAGUAGGAGUUCCAGAACACAGGCUGUGCCUCUGCCCAGCCUUUGCUUCCUCCCUGGUAACAGGAUGCUAAUUAGAAUUCAUGCUUUGCAUUGGUUUUGGACAUUCUUGCUGUUGUGGUUAUAGUNNNNNNNNNNACACACACACACACACACACACACACACACACACACACACACACACACAGAUGGCCUUGUUCUCAGGAUGUACUAAUACUAAUUUGGAGGCAGGAAGAACUUUGACAUAGCUCACAUCCAAGCAGAUCCCAAGUGACCCUCUGUGGAUGCAAAGAACAAGGCGUAAGCAUCAGGAGGAUGGAGAUGACCCAGGAACCUUUAAUCCAUGUUUCAGGGCAACCCCUGAGGUGCUGGGGGUUCAUGGGAUGUAGAAAAGGGAAAAGGAAGGGUCUGAUCCUCAGGACCUGGUUCUGAGGAGCAAUGGCUUGAAGAUCUGCUCCUGCAUGCAAUGUCAUUUAAAGAAAGGGUGGUGACAAUAGGAAUGUGUCUGGCCAUCUUAAGCACCUGGGACCAAUGGCAUAAGCAGUAUGAGAUAAGGAGGAAGAGAGGGUAGGAUUGACCCUUUUCUAAAACUCCAGUAAAGGUUCCAGGACUGCACGGCGGGCAGUCUGCAGGUGAGA